GGUGGAGCUCAGUGUCCUCAUCAGUAAGGUACAGUAGCCCAGGGGACAGUGUCCUCAUCAGUAAGGUACAGUAGUUCAGGGGACAGUGUCCUCAUCAGUAAGGUACAGUAGUUCAGGUGGAGCUCAGUGUCCUCAUCAGUAAGGUACAGUAGCCCAGGGGACAGUGUCCUCAUCAGUAAGGUACAGUAGCCCAGGGGACAGUGUCCUCAUCAGUAAGGUACAGUAGCCCAGGGGACAGUGUCCUCAUCAGUAAGGUACAGUAGCCCAGGGGACAGUGUCCUCAUCAGUAAGGUACAGUAGCCCAGGGGACAGUGUCCUCAUCAGUAAGGUACAGUAGCCCAGGGGACAGUGUCCUCAUCAGUAAGGUACAGUAGCCCAGGGGACAGUGUCCUCAUCAGUAAGGUACAGUAGUUCGGGUGGAGCUCAGUGUCCUCAUCAGUAAGGUACAGUAGCCCAGGGGACAGUGUCCUCAUCAGUAAGGUACAGUAGCCCAGGGGACAGUGUCCUCAUCAGUAAGGUACAGUAGCCCAGGGGACAGUGUCCUCAUCAGUAAGGUACAGUAGCCCAGGGGACAGUGUCCUCAUCAGUAAGGUACAGUAGCCCAGGGGACAGUGUCCUCAUCAGUAAGGUACAGUAGCCCAGGGGACAGUGUCCUCAUCAGUAAGGUACAGUAGCCCAGGGGACAGUGUCCUCAUCAGUAAGGUACAGUAGCCCAGGGGACAGUGUCCUCAUCAGUAAGGUACAGUAGCCCAGGGGACAGUGUCCUCAUCAGUAAGGUACAGUAGCCCAGGGGACAGUGUCCUCAUCAGUAAGGUACAGUAGUUCGGGUGGAGCUCAGUGUCCUCAUCAGUAAGGUACAGUAGCCCAGGGGACAGUGUCCUCAUCAGUAAGGUACAGUAGUUCAGGGGACAGUGUCCUCAUCAGUAAGGUACAGUAGUUCAGGUGGAGCUCAGUGUCCUCAUCAGUAAGGUACAGUAGCCCAGGGGACAGUGUCCUCAUCAGUUCGGUACAGUAGCCCAGGGGACAGUGUCCUCAUCAGUUCGGUACAGUAGCCCAGGGGACAGUGUCCUCAUCAGUUCGGUACAGUAGCCCAGGGGACAGUGUCCUCAUCAGUUCGGUACAGUAGCCCAGGGGACAGUGUCCUCAUCAGUUCGGUACAGUAGCCCAGGGGACAGUGUCCUCAUCAGUUCGGUACAGUAGCCCAGGGGACAGUGUCCUCAUCAG